UACAGAGGGUGCGAGCGUUAAUCGGAGUUACUGGGCGUAAAGGGCGCGUAGGCGGUUGUUUAAGUGAGAUGUGAAAUCCCUGGGCUUAACCUAGGAAUUGCAUCUCAUACUGGGCAGCUAGAGUAUUGUAGAGGGUUAGUGGAAUUUCCGGUGUAAGCUGGUGAAAUGCGUAGAGAUCGGAAGGAACACCAGUGGGCGAAGGCGGCUACCUGGACAAAUACUGACGCUGAGGCGACGAAAGCGUGGGGAGCAAACAGG
rnacentral:rRNA from 1 species